CGGGGAGGAGGAAGGGGGCGGGCCGGCAGCCGGGGCCGGGAGGGUAAAAUGGCGGCGGCGGUUGCGGCUCCUCGCGCACCGCGGGUAGGGCGGGAAGCGCGUUUCCCUGCCCUCCUCCCGCCUCCCGCGAAGGGGGAUCUCCUCCCAUAACGCGCGCACGCCGCCGCGGCGGAGCGGCCUCUUCUGUUCAAAGCGAGCCGCCGCUACCUGCGAGCGCCCGCGGCGCGGCUGCCCGGCCCGAGGACUGCCCGGCGGCGGCCCCGAGCCCGGGCUGCGGACUGGGGCUGUUGGAGGGGUGGCCGGGCCGCCCGAAGGGGGAUCCCUCCUCAGCGGGCCGCGGCCUUGCCUUGGAGGACUUCUUAGGCACCCAGUUCCCGCUUUUUUUCCCCCCCUCUAUUUAUUUAUUUAUUUGCCUGGCCGGGGACGCCUUCCCAAACCGAGGCGGUUCGGGGCGAGAACGGGAGGGAGCUGCGGCGGCCCUGCCUGCAGGGAGCUCCGGCCUCAAGGGAGCGCCGGAUGGGCGACCUGGGUAGUAAAAAGCUCCCCGUUUCUGGGCGGAUUUUUGGUGUCUUUUUUUAAUCAAAGUGUUCACGUUUUCCUCUGGCAGGGCGCGGGGCAGGCUUGUCGGCCGUGUCCUCGCCGGGCCCUGGCUGAGGGGAGCCCAAGCGGCCGUUGCCGGAUCUGGGCUCAGCUCUGGCUUGGGGCACUUCCUAUGCCGCUUUCCCGAAAAUAAACAUUUGAGCUGCUACAGUAUUGUAUGAAAAUAACGUGAAAGCCAGUUGAGUGGCUGGUGUUUAAACCAGAGAACCAUAUCUAUGUGUGUACUGACAGAUCUACAUGCUGAUAGCCGUUGGGAGUUUUCCUGUAACUGAGGAGAAAGAGCUGAGGUCGAACAACUGGUGAUUAAGGGACGUAUCUAUUAAACAGAUCAGCUCUUUGAUCUAACUGAUUGCACAGCCACAUAAACAUCAGAGUCAGCACAAGGAAGAGGACGUUUCAAGCAUGGUAUCACAUGCCAAGUUCAAUGAAUACAAGAGAAGAAUAUGGGUGACCUUGAUUCCCUCCUAUUUUUGUGCUGACUGGAAUACUGCCAGCCAAAUUCUUUUAACUGCAUACAUUAAUAUUGCUGGCCUACAAUGCUGGUUGUAAUGAUCCUAAGCCUUCAGCUAUCCCAUCCACUGCUUUUUUCUCUUGAUCUUUUAUUCCCUCCUCAUAUAUGCCAUCAUUGCAGGGUUGUCUGAUCCCAAGGAAGACCUCUCUCCUUCCUUUGACUGUGAUGCUGUUCUCAGUCUGAAAACACUUGCUCUAGUAAACUGCCAGCGCAGUUCUAAAGAAGUACCUGAAGAUAAAUGCAAACCUAGAGCAAAUAUAAAACUCUAAGCCCAAACUUAAGACUGGAGUAAGAGUUUGAGAACAUAUAUACUCUGCAACAUAUAUACUCUGUCCCACUGAUUCAUACCACCAAACUAAUACUGUAGUCCUGGCUCUCUUUAGGCUAAAGAUGGAGUUAAAAACCUUUCACAAAACUGAGCUGGACUAGGGGUUGAGAAGGUAAGGCUGGUCGUUGCCACUGUUCCUCUUCUGGGACACUGCCACAGCUCCUGUAUCCUGAAUCAGACAGGCAUCCAUCCUAAUGAAAGACAAGACUCAGUCUAGUGACAGCAAGAAUGAGGAAGGGUGUAGUUCUUUUUCUCAGCUUGAGGGUCUGCAGCAGUUUAGGUCCAUCUAAGUCAGUGCUGCAACAGUUCUUCCCUUUACUGAUUCCCCUCUCCCUCCGUCAUAUUGGUAUUCCUACAAUGAAUAGAUUUGCAGUGCUAUAGAGGAACAGGAAAAAACACUUUUCAUUAAGGGGGCAGGGAAAUCCUGGUUAUUUGUCAGCUCUGUGGCUCACGGAGUCGUCAGUCAAGCGCAGAACUGAUACUUAGUUGAGCAUUUGCAGAUGGCGGUAGGGAAAGCAGGGAUACCCGAUUGAGAGCUACUGCUCUGAAAAAAGUUAAAUUGCUUAAGAAAACACCUUGAAAAUUCAAUUAGAUAUAUUUGUCUACCCUGUCUUGUAGUUUGUAUAUCCAAACCUUAUUUUGUAUCUGAAUGUACAUACAGAAUAGUGAAUGUAGAAUAUGGAACACUUAACUGAUACAUUUUUGAUGUUAGUCAUGUUGACUGCUUCAGCCAGAGCUUUGUCUCUAAUGACUGAAGUAUCUUCUGUUUGAUCUGCUGUAGGUUACCAUUCCCGUAGCAAGUUGAAUGGGUUGCACGUUUAUUACUCUACUGCCACAGUUUAUGACAAAAAGUAAACUACCAGUGAUUUCAGUAGAUGUUAAUAGGAGAUGGAAGCUGUGACAGCUGAAAAACAAGUAAAUGUUUUAUUUGGCCAUUUCUGCUAUACAGAUGACAACUUCAAAACGGAGAUUCCAGCCAAUUCAGUUAUAUCUGUGACCUCUAGUCAGAAAUGACGCUGGAAAGGUUGAAAUCCAUUGCCCAGGAAAUCCUUCAUUUCACUAAAGGAAAUAAAUCUCCACCUGAAAAGUUAGCAAUGAAAUUCAGCUGAAACAUAAUAGAAUCAGUUUAAAUUUACACAGACUUUAAAAUUCUACUACCUGAAUUUCAAAAUUAAAGUGUCUUAUACGUCCAUUAAUCUAGCAAUCAGCAUUUUUAUUUUUAUUUUUUAAUAAACUUAAUGUCUAACUAGACUUCGCUAUCACAGCACCCUGUGAAGACAGAAAUCCAGGUAGGUUGACUUCCCCUGAAUAUUGAAGAAUACAAUCAACAUUUCUGGGGAUGUAAAUUAGGCCAAAAACUUGUCAUGUAACAGUAGUGAUCCUUACCACACUAUGUUACAGUUUGCUACAAAAACACCUAAGUGCCUGCUCAGCAUUUCAGUAGAAAAAUAACCUGCAUUCUAAUAAAUGUUAUUACCAGCUACUGGGUGUGGUGAGAAUCACACCAUAGAGCCAAGUAAACAGACCAAACUCCAACUCAGAGUGGUUUCACUACAGUAUCUCAGAGCCUGCUUAUACAGUAGCAAUUAUGGUUAGUAAUUUAGUUGAGCUUUUUUUUGUUUGAACACCUCUAUUCCCAUAUAGCUCUAGUGGAGAUUUGGCUGUACUAGUUUGAAAUUCGGUGCUACUAGUCUACCACUCUUUUUUGAUGAUACUCUGAUAAUUACACCCGGGUUCUCAGUCUGAUUCUGGGAGU